CAAUUACCCUCAUUUCAAUCACUGGAAUUCUUCACACAAAACUGCCAUUCACAUUACGGUGUUUCAUACAAACACGGACUCAUUCUCUCUGCUAAACUACAAUCAAAUUUCAGCAUUCAAUCUUUCUUCUUCUCAAAUAAUACCAAUUACAUUUCUAUUCCAUAAUUCACUUCACAAUAUUCAAAAACUCUCAAUCCUCUUAUUCAAAGAAAAUAACAAACAAAAGAAAAGAGGUAGUAGCAAGUUUAGCUCGGCUCACAACUAUCAUAGCGAUGGCACCUUAAUUAACUUCUACAACUCCUAUAUACUUUUUUUUGAUUCUCCAGAUUCUCACCGUAAUUCUAUAAUUAAUUACUUUUAAGAACUAAAUCACUCAUCUGUCCUCCUCAAUUUCCUAUUAUAUGGACUAUCAAUAUAUUUUAUCAAUAUCUUUUAAAAAUAAAUUAAUAUCUAUUCUA
rnacentral:lncRNA from 1 species